GAUGAACGCUGGCGGCGUGCCUAACACAUGCAAGUCGAACGGAGCUGCUUUGAUGAAGUUUUCGGAUGGAUUUAAAACAGCUUAGUGGCGGACGGGUGAGUAACGCGUGGGUAACCUGCCUCACACUGGGGGAUAACAGUUAGAAAUAGCUGCUAAUACCGCAUAAGCGCACGGUUCCGCAUGGAACAGUGUGAAAAACUCCGGUGGUGUGAGAUGGACCCCGCGUCUGAUUAGCCAGUUGCGGGGUAACGGCCCACCAAAGCGACGAUCAGUAGCCGGCCUGAGAGGGUGAACGGCCACGAUUGGGACUGAGACACGGCCCAAACUCCUACGGGA
rnacentral:rRNA from 1 species